UGAAGAAAAAGCAUCGGCUAACUCCGUGCCAGCAGCCGCGGUAAUACGGAGGAUGCAAGCGUUAUCCGGAAUCAUUGGGCGUAAAGGGUCCGCAGGUGGCGAAUAAAGUCUGCUGUUAAAGACCGGGGCUAAACUCCGGAAAGGCAGUGGAAACUGAUUAGCUAGAGUACGGUAGGGGUAGAGGGAAUUCCCAGUGUAGCGGUGAAAUGCGUAGAUAUUGGGAAGAACACCGGUGGCGAAAGCGCUCUACUAGGCCGAAACUGACACUGAGGGACGAAAGCUAGGGUAGCGAAAGGGAUUAGAUACCCCUGUAGUCUUAGCGGUAAACGAUGGAUACUAGGUGUAGCUUGUAUCGACCCGAGCUGUGCCGAAGCUAACGCGAUAAGUAUCCCGCCUGGGGAGUACGCACGCAAGUGUGAAACUCAAAGGAAUUGACGGGGGCCCGCACAAGCGGUGAAGUAUGUGGUUUAAUUCGAUGCAACGCGAAGAACCUUACCAGGGCUUGACAUGUCGCGAAUCUAGCGGAAACGUUAGAGUGCCUUAGGGAAUGCGAACACAGGUGGUGCAUGGCUGUUGUCAGCUCGUGUCGUGAGCUGUUGGGUUAAGUCCCGCAACGAGCGCAACCCUCGCCCUUAGUUGCCAAUAUUAAGUUAGGCACUCUAGGGAGACUGCCGGGGACAACUCGGAGGAAGGUGGGGAUGACGUCAAGUCAGCAUGCCCCUUACGUCCUGGGCGACACACGUACUACAAUGGUUGGGACAAAGGGCAGCAAACUCGCGAGAGUAAGCGAAUCUCAUCAAACCCAGCCACAGUUCAGAUUGCAGGCUGCAACUCGCCUGCAUGAAGUAGGAAUCGCUAGUAAUCGCAGGUCAGCAUACUGCGGUGAAUUCGUUCCCGGGCCUUGUACACACCGCCCGUCACACCAUGGAAGCUGGCUACGCCCGAAGUCGUUACCCUAACCCGGUUUUGGGAGGGGGAUGCCGAAGGUAGAGCUAGUGACUGGGGUGAAGUCGUAACAAGGUAGCCGUACCGGAAGGUGUGGCUGUAUCACCUCCUUU
rnacentral:rRNA from 1 species